GAUGAACGCUGGCGGCGUGCCUAAUACAUGCAAGUCGAACGAAACUUCUUUAUCACCGAGUGCUUGCACUCACCGAUAAAGAGUUGAGUGGCGAACGGGUGAGUAACACGUGGGCAACCUGCCCAAAAGAGGGGGAUAACACUUGGAAACAGGUGCUAAUACCGCAUAACCAUAGUUACCGCAUGGUAACUAUGUAAAAGGUGGCUAUACUACCGCCUUUGGAUGGGCCCGCGGCGCAUUAGCUAGUUGGUAGGGUAAAGGCUUACCAAGGCAAUGACGCGUAGCCGAAUUGAGAGGUUGAUCGGCCACAUUGGGACUGAGACACGGCCCAAACUCCUACGGGAGGCAGCAGUAGGGAAUCUUCCACAAUGGGCGAAAGCCUGAUGGAGCAACGCCGCGUGGGUGAAGAAGGUCUUCGGAUCGUAAAACCCUGUUGUUAGAGAAGAAAGUGCGUGAGAGUAACUGUUCACGUUUCGACGGUAUCUAACCAGAAAGCCACGGCUAACUACGUG
rnacentral:rRNA from 1 species